UGGGGAAUAUUGGGCAAUGGGCGAAAGCCUGACCCAGCAACGCCGCGUGAAGGAAGAAGGCCUUCGGGUUGUAAACUUCUUUUACCAGGGAAGAAGACGUGACGGUACCUGGAGAAAAAGCCACGGCUAACUACGUGCCAGCAGCCGCGGUAAUACGUAGGUGGCAAGCGUUGUCCGGAUUUACUGGGUGUAAAGGGCGUGUAGGCGGGAAGACAGGUCAGAUGUGAAAUCCCGGGGCUCAACCCCGGAACGGCAUUUGAAACCGUUUUUCUUGAGUAUCGGAGAGGCAGGCGGAAUUCCUAGUGUAGCGGUGAAAUGCGUAGAUAUUAGGAGGAACACCAGUGGCGAAGGCGGCCUGCUGGACGACAACUGACGCUGAGGCGCGAAAGCGUGGGGAGCAAACAGG
rnacentral:rRNA from 1 species